rnacentral:rRNA from 1 species
UACGGGGGGAGCAAGCGUUGUUCGGAUUUACUGGGCGUAAAGGGCGCGUAGGCGGCGCAACAAGUCACUUGUGAAAUCUCCGGGCUUAACCCGGAGCGGCCAAGUGAUACUGUCGUGCUAGAGUGCGGAAGGGGCUACUGGAAUUCUCGGUGUAGCGGUGAAAUGCGUAGAUAUCGAGAGGAACACCUGCGGCGAAGGCGGGUAGCUGGGCCGGACACUGACGCUGAGGCGCGAAAGCCAGGGGAGCGAACGGG